rnacentral:lncRNA from 1 species
AUAUAUAUGUCAUCAAUUGAAAGAACUAGGGCAAGUGUUUUUGUGCAUAGGGUUUCAUGUGAUACAUAUGAGAAAUGGAGAUAAGGUGUUUUCAGUUAACGUUUGGUGCGACAAAAAGAAUGAAGGAAAAAUAGAAAAGCUUAGUCUUGUUAAUUUAGUUCAACUUCUCACCUGCAUUACUUGCAUGGAUAAACAUGGCAAAAAAUUUAUUGCCAACCACUUUCUAGAUAUGCGUGGUUGUAUUUUGUGACUUUCUUGCCUAGAUGUUUUCACAUGGACUUGUAGAAAUUAUAUUCAAAGCCAUAUUCUAAGGGACGGAUACAAACAUUUUAAGAAGAAUAAUAUAUUAGUAUUUGUUUUAUUAUAUUUUGACAGUAUAAUAUAUCAUUUGAUCGAUCAACAAUUAAAUGUGCAAUGGUAUAGUCCAAAUUCUUUGUGAAAACAUAUUUUAUCCAAAGUGAAUCUAUAAAACAAUUCCAUUGUAGACUCUUAAUUGUUUGUGCACGUUUUCUUGUUAUGGUUAUUAAUUAAGCAAGCACUCUCUCUGGCUUGACAUGCACGCAAUCGUUCUUCUGUAACCAGUCCCAAAAUUGAGUACAAGGCUAACCAAAUAUAUAUAAUUAAGACAAAUAAAAAGUAGUCGAAGCAAUCUACCUCAAGCACAUUAUAAUUUAAGGGCUCCUGCAUAAAUAAUUAAUGCACAUAUUUUGAUUUAAAUAUUCUUUUAAUCCUUAUAUUUUCGGAAAAUAUAUCAAAAUAUUUAUGCAGUUAAAUUUAUUACAUUCUUACUCUUACAUUUUCUUUCUUUUUACAAUAAUAUCCUUACAACAGUAUUAUUGACUUUACUUAAUUUAUCUAUAAAAACUUUAAUAAGCAAAUUAACCAAUAAUUAUUUAUGUACAAAUUAAGUAAAAUACAUAUCAAUGUGAAAGAAAUAGUGUUUUUUUCACUUGUACAAUAAUCUCACUAAUAAUUUUUUAUCAAUAAAUUAAUAUCCACCAACUUAAUACAAUUUUUAAUAUCCUGGAAACAAUCUUACUAGUAAUUAUUUAUAAAAAAUUAAUUUACUAAAUUAAGCUUAAAUAUAAAAUAAUAAUAUAAAAGUUUGUAUAAACUUUUAUGUUACUUUUAAAGUUAAUUUGAUAAUUUAUAAUUCUUUCUUUUCAUUAAUAUCCUAAGAAAAUUGUUGCAUAGGUGUUUGGGAAAGAAAUGGAAGGUUAAUAGGAAAAUGCUACUUGUCAAUAGUACUUAAUUAUGGAAAAGUCACCACAAGGAGGUUGGCUUAUAACGAGUAUACUAUAUAUUACAAUGGCAUUCGAAUUUCACCAUAUCAAGGGCAUAAAAGGCUAGAGAAAAUAUCCAAAAUAUUUGGCACGUGAAAUGUCCUUAUCGUUAAAAUGAACAGUGAUUCCUUAGCUAAAAAUGAGGAACUGAUUAGGAGAUAUUUUAUUGAAAAAGAGGGAGCAGCAAGCUGCCAUGCUUACAAAAAGCCAAAAAAUGGCUCAUCAAAAUAAUUGGGAUCAUUUGUCCUUAUCUGACACUCAAGCAAUCGCUUAUACCCUCUGCAGAGCAUAUUGUACCACUUAGCAUAUUCCAACACGUGUACAUGGACAAAUUGUGUAAAUGAUGCUAACUUAUUCUCCAAGCAUGCUCUAUACGUGCAAACUGUCACAAAUGCUAAAGGACAAGAAUAUCCUUGUGCAAAGAGAGAAAAGUGCCAAUGAAAUUACGCAAGUGGCAUGAUGACCGGAAUAUCUCAGGGCACUACAUAUAAAGAUGCUCAGGUUUUCUCUUUCUAACUUAGCAAUUUUAAGCACUAAACAUUAAAAAAAAAAAAAAAGGUGAAGGCUCUUCUUCUACCUUGAGCCAACACCAUUGCGGACUUGACUCUCAAAACAACACCAAACCCUUCCUAGCAACGUCAUUAUUUCCACUCUUUCUCAAGCUUUAUAAAAGGCAAUACAUCUUGAUUACACUAGGCACCACAAUCCUCUCAUUUAUAAAUUUAUUGUGUUUAGUUAGAUUUCUCUCUUUGUUUAAAAUCUUGUUAAAAGAAUUGGUGUCGUCUAGGUGAGGGGCAUACAAAAAGCCUCCACAACAAUUGCCAAACUAUUGUUGAGUGCGUUCACAUAAAGAUGGCACCAGACGUAACCUUUGAUGAUAUGGUGCAAGAUGUUGGGAAAAUAUGCUCUUUAAAAGCAUAUGUGUUUAUUUAAUUGUAAUAAACAAUUUUUUCUGAUUAAUAAAAUAAAUGAGGUAUUUUAUUCAAAUAUCUUAAUUGCAUUAAUAUUUGUAUUAAAGUCCAUUUAAUCAUAUU